GACGAACGCUGGCGGCGUGCCUAACACAUGCAAGUCGAACGGACAGACCCUGCUUUUGCUUGGUGCUCGUUAGCCGCACGGGUGUGUAACACAUGUGUAUCCCGCCCUUGUCUUUCUGAUAACUCCACGAAACAGCGGCUCAUACCCCAUAGGAUCUCCUGCUCCACGGUGGUCGAUAGAAAAUUUCGGCCGUUGGGUAUCGACUCGCGGCUUAUCAGCUGGUUGGUGGGGUAGGUGCUUACCAAGGCUUCGACGGGUAGCCUGCCUGAGAGGGUGACCGGCGACAUUGGGACUGAGAUACGGCGCAGACUGCUACGGGAGGCAGCAGUGGGGAAUAUUGCACAAUGGGCGGAAGCCUGAUGCAGCAACGCCGCGUGCGGGAUGACGGCCUUCGGGUUGUAAACCGCUUUCGCCUGUGACGAAGCGUGAGUGACGGUAAUGGGUAAAGAAGCACCGGCUAACUACGUG
rnacentral:rRNA from 1 species